rnacentral:lncRNA from 12 species
UAGAAACGCUGCAGGAACCCUGCCCCCGGGGGCGUCCUUCCUACCUUCAGGUUAGGUGCUGGGCUGUAAGAACAGAUGGGGACAGUCCUUGCCCAGGGAGGUCACCGGCUAGUGGGGGAGGUAGACGUGUCCGCAACCUGCCAUGGUGAGCCCACGAUGAUUGUCCCGCUCCCCAUUGCUCCCAGGGGGCCUGCCUUGACCUUGAGAAAGUCCUCCUUCCACUCUCCGCAUCUGUAAAAUGGGUGUACAAACUCCUGUGGGACAAAAUCAAAGCAUAGAAAAACAAUUAUAUAAAACACUCUUUUUUUAGAAAAAAUUAUUUUAUUUAUUUGACAUAGAGAGAGCACAGGAAGGGGGAGCAGCAGAGGGGGAGGCAGAAGCAGACUCCCCACUGAGCAGGGAGCCCGACACAGGACUCUGUCCCAGGACCCCAGGAUCAUGAUCUGAGCUGAAGGCAGACGCUUCACCAAUGGAGCCACCCAGGGCCCCCUAAAACACCCUUUUUAAAAAAAUAAAAACAAUAUUUUAAGGAAUUGGAGCCAAUCCCUAUGUUUGUGAAGUGCUGGCCUGCUGACUGCUGACUACGACAAUGAUUGCGAGCUCUGUGGUCCCCUCUCUCCUGGUACCGGUGCUCCGUGCUGCAGAUGCAUGACGUGGCCCAAGAAAACGAUCCUCCAUUUCCACAGCUUGAUGCAAGGAAGGAGGCCAGGUCCGUCAUGCGUGGUCGGAGUCCCUCGGCACGUCUGUGACAGCGUUUAGGAAUUUUGUGAGAUUACCCACUGCAGGGAAACAAAGGCUCUGUGAGAUCAUCUCUGCCAGCCAGGCUCUGUCCCGGGCACAGUCCCCAGUGCGGGUCGGCCGGGCCACGGUCCCGCAGCUGCCCGCCACAGCCUCCGGGAAGUGGUGCCCACAGCAAUGCACGUCGUCACAGACCCUAGUUGCUGCCCGGCCUGAGUCAGACCCAUCUGCUCGGGGCACUGCCACAGAAUCAGGCCCCCCGAGUCGGGGACAGGUGCCAAGCCAAAGAGGCCUGAUUGGGAAGUCCCAGAUCAGGCAUCUGUUCUUUCACGAAGUCCUCCGGGUUGGGCCCACGGCCCAGGCGGGCCUCCCCUCCUGCUUUCCUCAACAAUAGAAGAAAAGAUGCUUCCAGACACUUCUGGCCGCCAGAGCCUCCCUGAUUUCUCUCUGAGGGCCUUGGAC